CGUGGGGGUGCUACCAUGCAAGUCGAACGGAGAAUCAGCAAUGAUUCUUAGUGGCGAACGGGUGAGUAACGCGUAGACAACCUGCCUUCUAGAUGGGGACAACACUGCGAAAGUGGUGCUAAUACCGAAUGUUGCAUUAAGCCUGCAUGGGCUUGAUACUAAAGGUGGCCUCUAUUUAUAAGCUAUCACUAGAAGAUGGGUCUGCGUCUGAUUAGCUAGUUGGUGAGGUAAUGGCUCACCAAGGCGAUGAUCAGUAGCCGGUCUGAGAGGAUGAACGGCCACACUGGGACUGAGACACGGCCCAGACUCCUACGGGAGGCAGCAGUGGGGAAUCUUCCGCAAUGGACGAAAGUCUGACGGAGCAACGCCGCGUGAGUGAAGAAGGUUUUCGGAUCGUAAAGCUCUGUCUUUGAGGACGAAUGUGUCUAAUGUGAAUAAUGUUAGAUAAUGACGGUACUCGAGGAGGAAGCCACGGCUAACUACGUGCCAGCAGCCGCGGUAAUACGUAGGUGGCAAGCGUUGUCCGGAAUUAUUGGGCGUAAAGCGCGCGCAGGCGGGAUAUUAAGUCUGUUUUAAAAGUUCGGGGCUCAACCCCGUGAUGGAAUGGAAACUAAUAUUCUUGAGUGCAGGAGAGGAAAGUGGAAUUCCCAGUGUAGCGGUGAAAUGCGUAGAUAUUGGGAGGAACACCAGUGGCGAAGGCGACUUUCUGGACUGUGUCUGACGCUGAGGCGCGAAAGCCAGGGGAGUGAACGGGAUUAGAUACCCCGGUAAUCCCGGCCGUAAACGAUGGGUACUAGGUGUAGGAGGUAUCGACCCCUUC
rnacentral:rRNA from 1 species